GUACCCGUAGCUCAGUUGGAUAGAGCAACGGCCUUCUAAGCCGUCGGUCGAGGGUUCGAGUCCCCCCGGGCACG
rnacentral:tRNA from 1 species